rnacentral:rRNA from 1 species
GACGAGGGCGCGAGCGUUGUCCGGAUUUAUUGGGCGUAAAGAGCUCGUAGGCGGCUUGUCGCGUCGAAUGUGAAAACUCGGGGCUCAACUCCGAGCUUGCAUUCGAUACGGGCAGGCUAGAGUUCGGUAGGGGAGACUGGAAUUCCUGGUGUAGCGGUGAAAUGCGCAGAUAUCAGGAGGAACACCGGUGGCGAAGGCGGGUCUCUGGGCCGAUAUUGACGCUGAGGAGCGAAAGCGUGGGGAGCGAACAGG